UACGGAGAGUGCAAGCAUUAAUCGGAAUUAUUGGGCGUAAAGGGCGCGUAGGCGGGAAUGGAAGUCAGAUGUGAAAUUCCGAAGCUCAACUUCGGAGCUGCAUUUGAAACUCCAAAUCUAGAGGAUUGACGGGGAAAACGGAAUUCCACGUGUAGCGGUGAAAUGCGUAGAUAUGUGGAAGAACACCUGUGGCGAAAGCGGUUUUCUAGUUAACACCUGACGCUGAGGCGCGAGAGCAAGGGGAGCAAACAGG
rnacentral:rRNA from 1 species